UACAGAGGGGGCAAGCGUUGUUCGGAAUUACUGGGCGUAAAGGGCGCGUAGGCGGCCUGCUAAGUCGAACGUGAAAUCCCUGGGCUCAACCCAGGAACUGCGUCCGAUACUGGUUGGCUUGAAUCCGGGAGAGGGCUGGAGAGGAGAUCGGAAUUCACGGUGGAGCAGUGAAAUGCGUAGAUAUCGUGAGGAAGACCAGUGGCGAAGGCAGAUCGCUGGACAGGUCCUGACGCUGAGACACGAAAGCCAGGGGAGCAAACGGG
rnacentral:rRNA from 1 species